rnacentral:rRNA from 1 species
UCGAGGAUCUUUCGCAAUGCGCGAAAGCGUGACGAAGCGACGCCGCGUGCAGGAUGAAGGCCUUCGGGUCGUAAACUGCUGUCGUGAGGGAACAAUCUCGGUAAAGCUAAAAUCUUUAUCGGGUGAUGGUACCUCAGGAGGAAGCCACGGCUAACUCUGUGCCAGCAGCCGCGGUAAUACAGAGGCGGCGAGCGUUGUUCGGAUUUACUGGGCGUAAAGGGUGCGUAGGCGGUUUCGUGUGUCGGAUGUGAAAUCCCUCUGCUUAACGGAGGAAUGGCAUUCGAAACUACGAGGCUAGAGUACCGGAGAGGAGAGUGGAAUUCUCGGUGUAGCGGUGAAAGGCGCAGAUAUCGAGAAGAACACCGGUGGCGAAGGCGGCUCUCUGGACGGAUACUGACGCUGAGGCACGAAAGCUGGGGGAGCAAACAGG